rnacentral:rRNA from 1 species
UACAGAGGGGGCAAGCGUUAUUCGGAAUUAUUGGGCGUAAAGGGCGCGUAGGCGGUCGUUCAAGUCGAGUGUGAAAGCCCCCGGCUCAACUGGGGAGGGUCACUCGAUACUGAUCGACUUGAAGGCGGGAGAGGGAAGCGGAAUUCCCGGUGUAGUGGUGAAAUGCGUAGAUAUCGGGAGGAACACCAGUGGCGAAGGCGGCUUUCUGGCCCGUUCUUGACGCUGAGGCGCGAAAGCUAGGGUAGCAAACGGG